rnacentral:rRNA from 1 species
AACGAACGCUGGCGGCAGGCUUAACACAUGCAAGUCGAACGCCCCGCAAGGGGAGUGGCAGACGGGUGAGUAACGCGUGGGAACAUACCCUUUCCUGCGGAAUAGCUCCGGGAAACUGGAAUUAAUACCGCAUACGCCCUACGGGGGAAAGAUUUAUCGGGGAAGGAUUGGCCCGCGUUGGAUUAGCUAGUUGGUGGGGUAAAGGCCUACCAAGGCGACGAUCCAUAGCUGGUCUGAGAGGAUGAUCAGCCACAUUGGGACUGAGACACGGCCCAAACUCCUACGGGAGGCAGCAGUGGGGAAUAUUGGACAAUGGGCGCAAGCCUGAUCCAGCCAUGCCGCGUGAGUGAUGAAGGCCUUAGGGUCGUAAAGCUCUUUCACCGAUGAAGAUAAUGACGGUAGUCGGAGAAGAAGCCCCGGCUAACUUCGUG